GCUUACGACCACACCGGCCUGAGUACGCCUGAUCUCGUCUGAUCUCGGAAGCAAGCAGGUCGGCCUGUUGUACUUGGAUGGGAGACCGCCUGGGAAUACCAGGUGCUGUAAGCU
rnacentral:rRNA from 1 species